UUCGCAAAGACAUACACAAAUACAAUCAUACGAAGACUCCCAGAGCCCUAGACCCCAAAUAAAUUGUCAUCUUUGUUCUCACUCGAACCCAAGCCCUAAUUCUGUCGAAAUUUGGGCGAGUGACCUCUUUCUCUCAUCUUGGCGUUGCUAAUGGUUUUUGACACAAGACUCCCCUCUCCUUUCACUCGCUCAAAUUAGAGUUUUAUCUCACGAUAGAAGGUUCUGGAGAUGAUAUGCUGGAUAAGUGUGAGGCUUUUGAUUGAUUUCACUCAAUUCGGGCCCCACAUUCAUCAAGGAUUCGUCUUCAAAAUAAGCCUUAUCCGAUUUUGUGAAAGGGGGACUCGGCUAACAAAAGUUCAAAGAAAGGUUGAAAGGUUUCUGGAACUGAUCGUUUUCUGAGUUUAUUUUUCUUCUUUGACAAGUCUUUCAAAGUUUAAGAGAAACAUAUAUGCAAUUUUUAUUUUUUUUGAAUCUGUAUUUGAGUUCCAAGGAGAUAUAAAUUGAUGUACGAGCUUGGUUUUCUACUGUGUCUUGCUGAUUUGCUGCUGAACCUCGCUAGGAUUUGGAGUCGAGAGUCAUAUUGUCGAAUUGAUAAUUGUUAUAAAGGAGAUUUGUAACUUUACGUUCAAUCUUCCUCUCUUUUUUUCUAUGCGACUCUAUUUUUUGUUUUAGUAUUUUGAGCUAUGAGAUUCUGUCUAGAGUGGUCUACUUCAUGUUGUGAUCAAAUUUCUUGUUGAAUGAAUCUAUUCUCAGUGGUGUGACCUAUUUAAGUAUGUUCAGUUAGUAAAAGUUGAGUGUGAAAGGUCGUUCUCUGUGUUCAUAUGUUUUAACUGCUAUUAUGGUGUCAAGUUUUUCAUAGUUAAGAUUUCAUUGCAAUAUGUUCUGAUAUACAUGAUGAUCUACUUGAGCCUUCCAUCCUAAUUUCAACAUGUUCAACUCACUGAAGAGUUCCCUUUUUUAUGAUCUUAUGAUCAUUUUCGCAUGUAUUGUUAGUCUAUUUCUGCUGAAGUUUCCUAUUGAUAAUAUUUUCUCUUUGAGGCUCAUUAUGUUGGAAGAUCAGUAGUUUUUCCUAUUUGUUUUCAGCAUGAAAAGUCCACACCUAAACUCUUUAGACAAAAUAUUCUUUAAAGCUUGUGUAAUAGUAUGGUUUUGUCUCCUUUGAGAUCAUUUUGCACUUUCUAGUCAAGCUAUGAACCUUAGUCCAUUCAUCCUGCACAAGCUGCCUCUCCUACAGUAACUGAGCUGUUUUCUUUUGGUUUGGCCCCCAGUUGUUUUAGAAUGCUGUUUUUCUGCAUCUGAGUACAUUUCAGAGCCAUGAGUGUUGAAUAUGGUGUAUUUAGUGAAAAUUGGAAUUUUAUCUUCUCCACCUUCAAAGCCUGCUUCUAUGCAGUCUAGUUUAGCUGCGAUCAUAGGAUUUUACUGCUGAAAACUUGCUCAGUUUUGUACUCUGUAGGAAACAAAGCUGCACAGUUUUAAGUUCAAAACUUUGCACUAUUAGUUUGCAAAAUUGUCAAGCUGCUGGAUAAUCUAUUGUCUAAUUGAGUUUUUCUUUGUUUUGUGGUUGUUAAUCAGUCAUGGAAAUAAGCAAGGGUGAGUUUGUUUUGAUAAUGUUCUUCUACAGACACCUUGAGUUGGUUUGUUUGUUAAUCAAUCAAAGAUAAUUUCUGUUUGCCAUUUACUGAAUAUUUGACAAGAAGGUUUGGAAUACUUUGUUGGGAAUUUGGGUAUUUUAGAACUGGGGUAACAAUAGCUUGGGUGUAUCUAAGACCAAUGUUUUUGCUGUCGGAAAUGAGUAAUUUUAUAUUCAACAUUGGAUCAAGGUUGGGCCAUUGGUUGGUUUCUGACUUAUUGUAUUUGGACUAUUUCUGGGUGUUUCAGUGCUGACUGCUGCCUAAUCCUUAUUCAGAAAGGGAGUUGUCCUUCUUGUCUGGCCUAUAUAUUUCCAUCUAUUUUGCUUCUUGUCGAUUGCCUAGUUUGUUGGUAAACCCUGUUAUUGAUGUAUUCCCUCUACUGGAUUUGAGGGUGCUGAUAUGUGUUGGUGUGGUUGUCAAAAUACAUGUGGAGUCGGAUAAUAUAGGCCAUGGCCAGUUCAACUUUGUUGGCAUUUUACAUAAUGGGAAAGAGUCUUGAAGCGAUUCAGUGCGCUAGUGGCAGCACACGCACUUGCUCGUGUUGCUUUUGUUUACUAUACCGUUGCCUAUCAUUGGGAAUUUCAGCAUAUUUAACUUUAUUAAAUCACCAGAAGCUUUGUAUAAGUUAAAGGAGGUUUCAUUUUCAGGGUGCGCCGUGCCUAACAAAAAUGACAAUUGCACGGCCCUCGCUUAGAUAACUUUGUAUAAAUCCUUAGAAAUCGAGGCGUGCUAUUUAACGAAUUUUUCAUGGCCCUCGCAAACAUUAAAAUGCGUAAUUGAUUUAGGCGCGUUAGUUAAAAAUCUACCUUCCUAAAUUCGGGUGCGCAUUUAUGUAACCCAAAUUUAAAUUCCAACGGUGUUAAUAUAUGUUGAAGACCGCGGGUGCAUUUAUGUGAUGUGGUUUGAGACUGUGUUUCAACAACGUUGCAAUCUUCCUAAAAACGAAUAAAAGUGGUUAAAGUUAAAAAUGCACAUAGGCUCGAAUAUGUACUAAAAUCAGAUAAUUAAACCGCAUAUAACAGUUGAGCGACUGUGCUAGAACCACGGAACUUGGGGAUGCCUUACACCUUCUCCAGGGUUAAUAGAAUUCCUUACCCGGAUUUCUGAUUCGCGGGCUGUAAUACAGAGUCAACCUUUUUCCUCGAUUCGAGAUUUAAAUCGGUGACUAGGGACACUAUUAAUUAUCCCAAAUGGCAACUCUGAAAUCUUUAAAUAAAUAAAUCCUGUUCCGAUUGUCCUUAAUUAGAAAAACUCCCUUAUACACCUUCGGGUGUAGGAAAAAGGAGGUGUGAUAAUUUUUGCCUAUCCUUUUCUUUUGACAACUUCAAUAAGACAUUCUUUCGGUUUUUACCUUCCCGUGCUCCAUCUAUUGGCUAUUUGGACUGCCUAACAUUCUCCCUCUAGCCAUACUAAGGUAAUAUUCAUCCCUUCAAGGUUUCAAGGAAACUAUCAUUGUGGUACUCAUAUCUAGCCGUACUAUUUUAGUGUACACCAUCUGGGUGUUUCAUAAGGAGAUCUAAUAAUACAUUUGCAAUAUCCUUCAGAAAUAUAAACUAACGCAAAUAAUUCAUCCACCAUUUUGGCUCACUCUAACUCCACCCUGAUCGUGAUAUUAUGUCCUUUUCAUAAACCAUAUUUUUAAGCUCCCAUAUAGCAUAACCCAAAUCGAGGUGGCUGAUUAUACAUACCUCCGUUACUGUUGAAGGUAAGUCAAAAUACUUAUAUCUAUCUUCCUAAAUAGUAAAUAAGGAUAACCUUUAUUAACUGGGCAUCUCGUACCCUUCUUCACUUGUCUUCUUUUACUUGCGGCAACUCGUGUCUAACUUUUGAUUCUGUAAUUAUUUUUUACCAUAAGACUGGAUAACUAUUCUUUGCAAAAAGCUCCUUAUCAAGAAACUACAUCUUUUAGUACACACAUGAUUUGCUGAAGACCACUUAUUUACUCAUCAUAAGCAAGAUGCAAAAAUCAAGUUCCUCUAACUUAACACUUUCACAGCUAUAUCUCUUAUCGCCUUUCUGAAUACAUGCAUCAUCUUAUUAUGGAUAGAAGUUUGGGAUUUGAAUUCUUUUAGGUGGGAUCUACCACACGAACUAAAGUAAGAAGAAACAGUGACAGUCCUAAAUGCCCUGUAGCCUCCUGCUUAUAAGUGUUGUGCAUAAUACGCCCAUAAAAAAUACUACUAGAUAUGACUUGUAGACUCCCUAAGACAGAAUUGCUCUGUUUACCUUGAAAAUGGUAAUUAUAAUUAUAUUUGAUUUUGUGAUCUAUUUCUACACUAGUUUUUAGGCAAUAGAUGCUAAGUGUGAGACUAGAAAAUAAGAUUAGAACGUGAAAACGGUGCGCUUAGGCAAAUCGAACAGCUGAGAACUGGGGCCUCGAGCCUGCCUAUACCGGGUCUCAAAGUCGAGCUUGAUGCUAAGCUAUGAGUGGCCGAUGAAGGCUAAUAUUUUUGAGUGCUUUGAUGAAGACUCUUUAUGAUCAAUACCGAGCAAUAAAUGAAGAACAAUUGACGGAACAAAAUAAAUGUAGACAAUAAAUGUAAGUUGUGAAUCCAAGGAAAUAUGUUUAAGUUAGAGAGUAGAGAAUGUUCAUGUAUUUAAUAUUGUGAGUAAUAACUUUGUAUCCGUCUGCCUUACAUAGUACAAAUGAAUUUAUUACAAAGAAAUAUAGCUGGUACAAUGGCUUAGCAGUCAGGAACAGACUGAUGUUGUUAGAUGUUGUCAGUUAGGACCAUGUGCCUAGGAAAUUUCCUGUUUAUGCAUGAUAAUCGUCCAAUUGUGUUGCCCUGAGGUUGGGUGUAAAGAACCAUUCGAGGUCGAAACCUCGAACUAUGCCCUCGAGCCUUAGAGGCCUUUCGAGGCGAAGCUAUGGGAAAGACAUAAUGAUCGUGGAAUCGGGCUUUCUGAUUUCGCUCGUACAUAGAUAGUCCCCGCUUUUCUUAGAGUAAAAUGAUAAGAAAAAAUCUCAAAUUCCAGCCCCCUCAAUACUUCUAUAACGAUGGUGGUCACGCCCUAUCAAGCGGUUGACAUGAAAAAAUGAGGUGCCUAAAGGUCUCGUACACAUGGCCCUUAAAAGCCUUCGAAUUAAUUAUGGCAGUUAGGUAUCCUUUGGCCUGCUCCAACGUACGUGUUAGACCUCUGUAAGUGCCUCUUAUUUCUUUCCUUAUUUUCCACUGCACCACCGAUCCCUCAAAAGAGUUCUUCUUACCUUUCCCUUAUAUUCUUUCCCGGAACACAAUUUUCAUUUCUCAUCUGAAACCUUUUAACAAGAAUGGAAAAAACUUACACCUCCAUUUCUCUAAAAGAUGCGCCUUCUUCUUCCUCGCGCUCGUCUUAGGGUAUAGCAACAAUGCCCCAUCGCAUCGGGGAAUGCAUUCCAGGGGAUUUUGAAAUGACCUCUGAUUUUAUGACUAAAAAUCCUUCUUCGAAGCUGGGGCAAUGCAAACCCGUGUCCCAAUGUGUCAGGUCAAUAGUAGAUGUCGAAAGGGUGAAGGCCUACAACCACUGGGGGGACGCAAUGCUUGUGGAAAUUCCUUCUCGGGAGGAGGAUAUAAUGACAUACAAGGCUGGAUUCCUUAGCAUGUAUACUUAUUCGUUUAUCCUUGGCCUGGCGGAGCAAUCCUCACCUCCAAUAGACCCCAUGAUCCUCGAAUUCUGUGAAUGAUAUCGAGUAAUCCUUGGCUAGAUUCAUCCUUUAUUCUGGCCCAUUGUAUUCAUGACCAUAUAUUGUGGGAACAUGAUCAAAGAGAUGCCCUUAACUUACGACCACUUGAUCAGAAUGUAUAGCCCCCGAUUCUUUUGUGGGGGUCUGAUAAAGCUCCUCUAACGAGCCUCGAGAGCCCUUUUUUCUUGUACCAACGAGUUAGGAAUGGACUGUGAAAUCCGUUUUGUCUGAGUUAGGACUUCGGACCUGAUUCUAGCAAAGAGAUGUCGUUCCCUGAAAAGUGGAACAUGAAACGUAAGUAGAUACGCUAAUUAAAUAUCCUUUUGCUUCUCUUUGGGUACAUCUUCCUAUGAACUGACUUCUUCUGCUGGGUGCAACCAUCAACGUGUAUGGGUCAACAAGUUGUAUUUGAUUUCCCAUUUGUUGAGCGCGCAUGGUGCGAUCUGUCCUAGGUUCAGUUGGAAGCCAAGGACCAUGGCGAGCCUUUACUUCUGCUAUAAUUCUAUCUCUUAACUGAACUGUUGCUAAUAGCGUCCUCACUUCCUUGUUUGUAUUUUGUAUUUGUGCAGGUCUGGGGGAGGUUUCUCUAAUGAGGGAAGCAUGGCUUAGUGAAGGGGAUACCCCGAGACCCGUUGAAGAGAAGAAAAAAUGAAGGGAGUCGUCGACUGGGCCUUCAAAGUCCAAGAAGGCCAAAAUGGAAGAACCUAAGGCUAAUUCAACACCCUUAACUCCACGAGUAGCAUGGAUUCCCUAAGCUGAAGGUAAGGAGAAAGAUGAUUCCUUGAUAGUAUCUGAGGGAGGGAAAAAAAAAGAUCGCCUCUUAUACCGUAGAGACAGUGACUUCCAAGUCAGAAUUCAAGGUUAUAUUUGGUAAUGUCCCUGAGCCCGAUUGAUCGCCAAAAUAUUCCUCGAGCUAAGGCGCAUAUAGUAGGUGGUCCAGAGAAACCUGGUUCCGAAGCUCUCAGAGAUAAGAAAUGGCACUGAUUGAUCUCGUCGGUGUUAUUGACGUGAGUUAUUCUUCUCGGGACCGAACUUACCUCCUAAGGUAAUGUAGGAUGCCCGGGAUAAAGAAACUUCUAAUGUAUGGGUAUCCGUCGGAGAUAAAGACACGUUUGAAAGGCUUUAGCUAUGCCCGACAAAAUCCCUGAGCUCGAUGCCUCACUUAUUUUCAAUGAGAUGGACAUGCUUGUAAAUUCUGCUUGUCACCCUGAUCUUCGUAUUUCUAACUCGUCUCAUUGAUGGUUCUAGUCCAGGGUGCUUUAUAAUCAGACCUUCACCCGGUUUCAAGCUGAGCUGAGUUGCUACAAGCAUGAGAAGACUCAUCUCGGUGAGCAGGUAAUGUAGUUUCCAUUAGAUUUUGCCUGAAUGUACCACAUCUCAGCGUUUUGACAGAUUCGUUCUAAUUUGCAAUGUUUGAGAGGCAAGAUGCUCUAAUGAGGGAGGAUCUCCGAUCCAAAGACUCCGAAAAUCUCAAACUCAAACGGUAUGUGAGUGAGAUAGCUUCCGAGAGGGAUACCCUCCAGGGAAAGAUGGCCUUAGUCAGGUAUCAAUUUCAUGAUGAGAGGGUGGAGAGAAAUAAGUAUAGAAGUCUUGACACUGAGUUACUCACUGCAUUAACCGGGAUCAAAGCUAAAGUCAGAGCGCUCAUAUCUUUGCACAAAGAGGAUGCUGUUAUAGUAGGUGCUCGAGGCCCGAUGAGGCCAAAUUGAAGUUUACUCAAGCCAUGGAACAUGCUUGUUGGAAUCUCGAAGGUGGACUUUCGAGGAUAUACAUGCAGGGGGCAUUUGUCUACUGAUCUUGAGAGGGUGAAUGUUACGCCCUGCAGUAUUACAUCGAUGUUAUGCUCUACAAUAAUAUAGUACGAUGAUGUUUCCCUCUGCAAUAAGAUAUUACGAUUGAUGUUACAUCCUGUAGUAUUAAGUUACGACAGUGUUGUGCCCAGAGUAUUGCAUUACAGUGAUAUUAUACUUCACAGUAAUAAGUUACGACGAUAUUGCACCAUGCAAUAUUUUACAUUGAAUUUUUCAUAAGGUAAUUGACAUCACUCCAAGAAAACGAUUAUUUUGGGGCAUAAGAAUUAUGAUAUUUUACAGGUGAUUAGUAAAUUCAUGAAAGUAAAAGGGGGAGCAAGUAUAAGAAAAUGAAUUUUUGUCAAAGUUUGGCCUUUUGAGAUAAAAAAAGGCCCGAGCUAAAAUACCUAAUAUUUAUAAAUUAGUUCAUACAAGGUAUUACAUGGUCAUAAUAGAAAGGUGUAUAAAAUAUGUGAAAGGUAAGUAAUAUUUAGACUAAGUGAAAAUAAUUCUCAAUUUUUUAAAUAAUUAAUUCAUUACCGGGCAGCGAGAUAUUACCUAGUUAAUUAAUUAAUUAUUUGUAGGAUAAGAUUAAAAAUACCUACUACCCCCACGUGGCAGUAUUAUAACAUUAGCUAAGAUGACUCUUGAAGUCAUAUUAGUACGUGGAAAAGUUUGAGAAUUCAAGAUUUAAAUUUCAACCCACUAUGAUGAUUAUUUUCUUCCACUAUCUUGGGCCUUUCUUCUGUCUUGAAAUUGUUCCUUCAUGCACAUUAUAUUUUUCACCUUUUAAAGAUCAAGCUCAAGCUAAGAUCUAGUAUUACGAGUCUUAUUUACCUAAAGUGUUUUUCAAUUAGUUUGGCCAAGAGAUAAAAGUUUUCUAAAGGAAACAUUCAGACAUUUAUGUCCAUAGAUACUGAUCGAGUUGUGAACAUAUGUAAUAUUUUUCAUGAUAUAUGGAGAUGAGCCAGCAAUAUUUACAGGCUCAGAGACAUAUAUAUCAUUGACUAUGAUUUGCCUCUUGCUCAAUUCGUUGUUGUAUUUUUUUUCUACUUUGAUCCGUUGUUAUACAUUAUUGCAAUUAAUGAUCUUAGAGGAAUUGUUAAGAGAAUCGGCUUAGGUAUAUUAAGGCUAUCCAUUCUUUUUUUUUUUGGCAUGAUCCAUAUGAUACAUACGAAACGUGCAAAUACACAAAUUCCAUAAAUGACUCUAUUUAUAAAAGUAUUAGAGGUAUCUAUGUUCCUGAAUUUCCAUGUGUCAUAAUAUUGUAUCUUCUAUUCAUGGGAUCAGAAAAAUAUAAAAGUUGAGAAAAAAAGCUUACUUUAUGAUAUUGAUCAAGAAAAAAUGGUAUUAUGAAAUUUUAAAAGACUUUAUCAAUGUACUUUUCAUGCAAUGCAUUCAUGUAUAUUGACCUAUGACCAGAUAGCGUUAUUUAUGCGUAUAUAUGUAAAUAUAUGUAUACGGGACAUGGGAAGAAUUUACGGUAUUAUAUAUGCACCACCACCUGAUCAACUAGUAUAUGAUGAUGGUGUUGUCCACAAUGACAGAAAUAUGAUUCAAACGACAUUAUAUAUAUAUAUAUAUAUAUAUAUAUAUAUAUAUAUAUANNNNNNNNNNNNNNNNNNNNNNNNNNNNNNNNNNNNNNNNNNNNNNNNNNNNNNNNNNNNNNNNNNNNNNNNNNNNNNNNNNNNNNNNNNNNNNNNNNNNNNNNNNNNNNNNNNNNNNNNNNNNNNNNNNNNNNNNNNNNNNNNNNNNNNNNNNNNNNNNNNNNNNNNNNNNNNNNNNNNNNNNNNNNNNNNNNNNNNNNNNNNNNNNNNNNNNNNNNNNNNNNNNNNNNNNNNNNNNNNNNNNNNNNNNNNNNNNNNNNNNNNNNNNNNNNNNNNNNNNNNNNNNNNNNNNNNNNNNNNNNNNNNNNNNNNNNNNNNNNNNNNNNNNNNNNNNNNNNNNNNNNNNNNNNNNNNNNNNNNNNNNNNNNNNNNNNNNNNNNNNNNNNNNNNNNNNNNNNNNNNNNNNNNNNNNNNNNNNNNNNNNNNNNNNNNNNNNNNNNNNNNNNNNNUAUAUAUAUGGAAUUUUGAAAGACUUAUUAACGUACUUUUCAUGCAUUGCAUUCAUGUGUAUUGACCCAUGACCAGAUAGCGUAAAAUACACGUAUAUAUGUAAAUAUAUGUAUAUGGGACAUGGGAAGAGUUUACGACGUUAUAUACGCACCACCACCUGAUGAGCUGGUAUAUGAUGAUGAUGUUGCCCACUGUGGCUGAAAUAUGAUUCAAACAGCUAGUAUAUGACGAUGAUUUUACCCACAGUGACUGAUAUGAUAUAAUGGGAUUCUCUCAGAGGCUGAUGAUAUUAUGAAACAUAUGCCUAUGCACGGCAUGACAUUCAUGCGCAUAUGCAUGACGCUUAAAGUAAUUUAUGAUUUAUAAAGUUAUUCUGAUUUACAGGCUGAGUCAUGUACUCUAUAUUUUUUCAUGUCUCCUAUGUAUUUAUUUAUGUGCCUUACAUACUCAGUACAUUAUUGGUACCGACACCCUUUUGUGUGGGGACGCUAUGUUUCAUGCGCGCAUGUCCCGAUAGAUAGGUCGAGAGCCCUCCAAUUAGGCUAUCAGCUCAGCGGAAGAUAUUGGUGUGCUCCAUUUGCUUCAGAGUUGCUUGUUUGGUUAGUAUGAUUUAGAUGUGUAUUGUUGGUAUUUCAGGGCUCUAUCCCGACCUUUAUGACAUUAUGUACUUUUAGAGGCUUAUAGAUAUAUGUCGUGUACAUGAAAGAUUGUACGGGCUUGUCGGCCUAUGUUUUGAGUUUAUAAAGAAUCAUGUUGGCCUAUUUGGCCCAUAUGUCAUGUGUAGAUGACGAUGUAAUAAGAAAGAUACGUUACGUUGGUACUCAGUUGAGUAAGGUACUGGGUGCCCAUCGCGGUCCAUCGGUUUGGGUCAUGACAAAGGUGGUAUCAGAGCAGUUCUUUCCUGGGGAAUCUACAAACCAUGUCUAGUAGAGUCUUGUUUAUGGGUGUGUCAUUCACCAGGCUUAUAAGCAAGAGGCUAUAGGGCAUUUAAGACUGUCAUUAUUUCUUCUUACUCUAGAUCAUGUGGAAGAGAUCACUUUUAAGAAUUCAAGUCCCGAACUUCUACUUUUAUUCAUAAUAAGAUGAUGCCUACGUUCAGAAUGAUGAUCGAUAAGAGAUAUCGCUGUGGAUGUGUUGAAUUAGAGGAACUCGACUUUGUAUCAUGCUUAUGAUAAGUAAAUGUGAGGUCCUUAACGAAUCAUGUGUGUACUGAAAGGUGUAAGCCUCUUGAUAAAGAGCCUUAAGGCAUGUAUGCCUAUCCACCUUUAUGGUGAAAGAUAAUGAGAGAUUAAAAAAAUAAAUACAAGUUUCAAUAAGCAAAAGAAGCAAGAUGAAGAAGGGUAUGGGGCGCUCAGUUAAUGAAGGAUAAUAACGUUUAUAAUUGAGACAGAGGAACAUAAGCUUUAUAAGUAAUAUUCAACAGUAAUGGAGAUAUGUACAACUAGUCACACCCUAGAAUAUUACGAUUAGAUGUGAAUACUAGCAUUCAGAAGAUAGGCAGUGAAAGCCUAGAUGGGAUAAAUAUUACCUUAAGUGUGGCUCUCAUCCCUAGUAGAGCGAGGAUGUUGAGCAACCCCAAGAGCCAUUGGAUGGAGCAAAGGGAAGCUAAAAGCUAAAGAAUAUUGUAUUGAAGUUUUCACAAGAAAAGGGAUAUGCAAAUAUAUUAGCAGAGUAGUGAGAAGAGAUAUAAGGAAGCAUUAUGAAUAAAGUGUGAUACAAUGGAUAAAAUUGGUAGAGCGUUACAGAACCUAUAGUCAAAUGAAGGAAAAGACAAAAGGUGAUGGUGUAAGGCCCCACGAAAAUGAGUGCUCAAAUGUUAGAAGCUCAUAAAGUCGAGUCUACCUACCUGGAUCGGAUUCUUUUUAUGGAAGCUAAAAGCGAAAAAGUGUCGUAUUUAUGUUUUCAAAAGAAAAGAGAUAUGCAAAAAUAUUAGCAGAGUAAUGAGAAGAGAGAUAAGGAAGAAUUAUGAAUAAGGUAUGAUACAUGGAUGAAAACAAUAGAGUGAUACAGAACCUAUAGUCAAAUAAAGGAAGAGACGAAAGGUGAUGGGCCUUAAGACAACCAAAGAGUAUAGGCCAUAAGGUUAUAUCCUCAUUUUGAGAAAUAAGUUCUUGACUCCAAUGCAACUACCAGAGGGGAGAGUUAAUCCUCUGAGUAACAGAAAUCAGUAUGGACUGGUAAAUAAGAUAAACUAAAUAUGAAUUAGGGACUUAAUGAUUGGAAAGUACUCGGCAUAAUGUGAAUUUCAGAUUUUUUUCCGCCAAUAAUAGAAUGGAUGAUAAAAGAAGAUUCAUUAGAAACUCAGGGAAUGGUAAUUCAGAAAGACGCUUCCCUACAGUAAGCACUGUGAGCAAAGUUCAGCUUAAGCUACUGUAUGUGCCAGUUAUACUAAGUUUCACCCUCGUGAGUAAGCAAUUUUGCUAUCCUUGGUACGAAAGGAUUACCACAAGGUGAGUAAGGGCUAUCGAUGAUGUGAAAGGAUUCCAAAGAUAAAGAGGUGAAACAUCUAUAGGAAGGUCGUCAUGGCUCAACUCUUAGCACUCCCCUAAAGGGGGGAAUAUGGAAUGAUAAAAGAAAGAAUGCGAUAAAAUUAAGAAAGGGAUGAGAUUGUACUUAUCCAACUGCUACAGAUAUGCUACGAUUCCUGAAUGUUAUACAAACGCGACGUCAAGGAGAAGAACUAAGGGUUCCAACCCAAGAUGUUAUUGAUAAUUAAGGAUCCAGUGCGAGAUGUAAGUUAAGAACAAGGAAAUAACCCAAGAAAGACUACGAGAAAAAUUGAUACCAGAAUGGGCCAACGAGUCGUUAGUGUUCAGGAAGAUCCCAGUUAGGGCUAAAUAAGAGGUUACAGACGAGUCAUUAGGUCAUGUAAGAUAAACAUAGUAGAACCCAACGCGAAGAAUUCAGCCUUAAAGAAUAUCAUUAUAAUACUGAAGAUAUAUUCAAACAUGAGUCGGGGUAGUUAAAGGUAAUGUAUGAGUGUUACGGGGAUAAAAGAAAGUGCCACUAGGAAGGCAGUCAAAAUAUCAGCUCAGAAGCAUCUAUAUAAGCACAAGGGCAUGGAAGUAAGCAACUACAGAUGAUUAUAGGCAAGUAAGGACAUCAAAAAGGUUCGUAAUAAGCCCAUAGAUUUAUGAGAGUAAAAGGUUCUCCCUAAGUACUACAACAAAAGACUAGAUGAGUAGAUAAGAAAGAAGGCCUCAACCUAAGUACAAUGAUCUAAAGAGGAAAUGGCCGUGUAACAACAGUCUCACAACAAUGUUAUAAGUACUCCAAAGGAAAGUGGCACCUACAGUGACUACUGAACGGGAAGUAAAACUAAAAGUAAUAUAAUAUUCGAGAUCAUAUGACAACAACAACAACAACAACAAAAAUCCAGUAUAAUCCCACUUAGUGGGGUUUGGGGACGGUAGUAUGAGUUGCACAAAAACUCUAGCAUGUAUAGGCACUAAGAUGAGCUAAACAUGGAUGCAACAACGAGGCAGACAGACCAGAAAAAGUAAUAGCUUACUUUGAAAUAUAGCUAAAUUGGAGAGAAUGAAAUUAUUCGAUAAAUGAUCUAGAGUUGGUUACGUUAUGAACCCACUUAAAGGUUCAGAGUUUUAUACAUGCAACAUAUAUAGCCGUAUAAGAUUUUGGUAUACGUUAAAAGAAAGAAUCAAACAUGGGUCAUAAACGAAAGAUUAAAUUAUUAAAGGAUUAUAUGAUGCAUAUUUCUCAGCGCCCAUGAAAGGCUAAACAAAAUAAAUAAUACCAUAAACCACAGAUCGGAAGA
rnacentral:lncRNA from 1 species